rnacentral:lncRNA from 1 species
CUGGUAAAGACCAAGGUGGAAGAAUUUCCAGUGUUGCUGAGAACUGGAGGAGACUUCGGAGCUAUUGCUGUUUCUGCUGCUACAACUUAAGCUAGCUGCCUGCAGAACUUACCUGGAUUGUGAUUUAAGCUAGAUGCCUGCAGAACUUACCUGGACUGUGAUUUAAGCUAGCUGCCUGCAGAACUUACCUGGACUGUGAUUUACCUGGACUGUGAGUUAAUCUAUUGAGACACUGCUUUACCUGGACUGAGACAACAAACUGUAAUCUAUAACAAAUUGUAAUUCGGUAUCUUUGCUAACAGUGUCAUUGCUGGUAUAAUUUUUCCAAGGGCUUCUUGCAUGGAGCCAUCAAUUGGCUUGGUAUUGUGACAUUUUGUAUCCUCCCCUUCUGCUUGUAGCAGAUUAUUUAUGGUGUUUGUGUAAAAACCACUAUGGUUGUUAUUUAAAUUAAACAAAAG